ensembl:snoRNA
CUGGUCAACAGAGAGAGACUCUGUCUCAAAAAAAAGAAAGAAAAGAUUUCUGAUGUGCUAAACAAACUUUUGGAGACAAAUUAGCAGCAUGACUAAUUUAGCCAUUGCUGUCAGUUACCUUCAGACAAGU